rnacentral:rRNA from 1 species
GACGAACGCUGGCGGCGUGCUUAACACAUGCAAGUCGAACGGUAACAGGUUAAGCUGACGAGUGGCGAACGGGUGAGUAAUGCAUCGGAACGUGCCCGGUCGUGGGGGAUAACGCAGCGAAAGCUGCGCUAAUACCGCAUACGAUCUGAGGAUGAAAGCGGGGGACCGUAAGGCCUCGCGCGAUCGGAGCGGCCGAUGUCAGAUUAGGUAGUUGGUGGGGUAAAGGCUCACCAAGCCAACGAUCUGUAGCUGGUCUGAGAGGACGACCAGACACACUGGGAGUGAGACACGGCCCAGACUCCUACGGGAGGCAGCAGUGGGGAAUUUUGGACAAUGGGCGAAAGCCUGAUCCAGCAAUGCCGCGUGCAGGAAGAAGGCCUUCGGGUUGUAAGCUGCUUUUGUACGGAGCGAAAAGGUCUCCUCUAAUACAGGGGGCUCAUGACGGUACCGUAAGAAUAAGCACCGGCUAACUACGUGCCAGCAGCCGCAGUAACAC